rnacentral:rRNA from 1 species
GGGGCGCACGAGUGCGCGAAAACUGUGCAAUGCGCGAAACGACACGGGAAACCUGAGUGCCUUGACAAAGUCAAGGCUUUUCUUAAGCCUAAAAAGCUUAAGGAAUAAGAGCUGGGUAAGACGGGUGCCAGCCGCCGCGGUAACACCCGCAGCUCGAGUGGUGGUCACUUUUAUUGAGCCUAAAGCGUUCGUAGCCGGUCCUGUAAAUCUUCAGAAAAAUUCUCCCGUUCAACGGGAGAUCCUCUGAAGAGACUGUGGGACUAGGGACUGGGUGAGGUUGAAUGUACUUCUGGGGUASGGGUAAAAUCCUGUAAUCCUGGAAGGACAACCGGUGGCGAAGGCGUUCAACUAGAACAGAUCCGACGGUGAGGAACGAGGGCUAGGGGAGCAAACCGGAUUAGAUACCCGGGUAGUCUUAGCUGUAAACACUGCCCACUUGGUGUUGCCUCUCCGUUGAGGGGGAGGCAGUGCCGKAGCGAAGGUGUUAAGUGGGCCGCUUGGAUAUGUCGAAGUAAAUUAAGAUU